rnacentral:lncRNA from 1 species
UCGUAUUUUUGUAAAGUUCAUGUGAAAAUAACAUAAAAAAUUUCACGUGGGAUUCAUUUGAAUUACUGAGUUUUAAACUUCAUCAUUUAAGACAAUGGUGGUGUCGCUGCUUCAUCAAUGCAGAAAUAGAGUACUUUAAAAAUUUGAUUCAGUUAAGUUUUAUGAUUGAUCGGUGUUUGAUGGUUUAUUUAACGUUCAGUGGCAAAUAGUUCAUGCAUGUUCGGAACGAUACAAUACAAUUUUGAAAACAGUCGGACAAACCUUGCAAACUGUAUGCAAAAUUUCACAGGGUCAUUUGUGGAAAAAUAUUUACGAACAAAUCUUGAGAUCAUAUAUGCAUUCUUUAUAAGUAAAACAAACUGCACAUGCGAAACAUAAAAGUUUCAGCUUGAAAUGCCACAUGAUGUAGGAAAUGUAAGCCGGAGUCUGCGUGCCUUUUAUAUUUUAUCAAAACGCCUAAUCCAGCAACCUGUCAUGAACAAAAAAUAAAGAAAAUCCAGACGAUAUGCGCACUUUUAAUAUGAGUAGUAACACCAGGUACAUAAUUGAAACCUGAAGCAAAAAGACUGUAUAGUCCUAAAUAAUAAGCCGUAUAAACCCUGUAUACACCAAGUGCGGGAUUGUUCGUAAACUUUGUCGAUUUCUUUGAAAAAAUUAGAGGCAAUGAUUUAAAUUUUAACAACUGAUGUUUCAAGUGACGGGUGUAAAUUGUAGGAUUGAUUGUUGGUUGCUUAACGACCAGUGGCAAAUAUGUCAUGCAUGUUCAGGACGAGAACAUGUUUACAUCAACAAAAAUAUUUAUAGUUGCAAGUGGAUACUUGGGACUGGAUUAAAUCAGACACUAACGGGAAAUGAUUUUUAUUUUUUUUUAUUUUUGCCGAGUCAAGUUCCCAUGUAUUUCUUAGCCUACGGUAACUUUCUCAGGCCUUAUUCUGAUGUUGCUGUCUGUCCUGUGUAGACUUGGUCUAUGAUAUUACGACGCUAGCACUUUAUUUGUAAAAUGUUUCCGAAACUAUAUCGGAUUUACUCUGUACAGACUGUUUACACUUGGAAUACCGGAAAUGUUAUUCGGCAAAAUUACCAAUUAAACCACUUUUCUACAUUCCAUACUAACAAACUAUUUUCUGUAUGAGUUUUAAAGUGUGGUUAUAUUGUGCUUUUUUACCUUAUUCUAUCCGUAUUGAGGGGGAAGGACCUUUAUCGGGACUCCGGGGUCAGGUGUUUUUGAAUUCGGGAUUUCGGGAUUGACCCUUUCGGGAUCUGGGAAUUCGUUUUUUCGAAUUUCGGGAUGGCGGGAUUUCAAUUUUUUAAAUUCGGGACCUCGGGAUAUCAUGCUUUUAAGUCCGGGAUUUCGGGAUCAGGACCCCUCCUAUUCAGUAUUCUCAUCCAGAUAAAUUUCCUUUUUCCUUUUUGCCCGAGCGGUGUUUUUGACGAUCAUUUUAACACGAAUUUAUAGCUGUACAAUUAAGUUUCUAUAGACAAGAUUUCUAUUUUCAAAACAAAAUUUCAUGGGGAUACGGCGUUCAUCAUGAAACAGUUUUUAUUGCGAAAUAAACUAACUGAAGAGUAAAAUAAAAUGAUAAAACUUAGUUUAUUUUCCAUAAGAACAUAAUUAUAAAGAUAAAUCGUGCAGAUGCUAAAAUAUUAAAGAAACACAAUAUGAAUUAAAAGUAAAGUAAUACAUUGUUUAAGGUUAACAAUGAGCAGAAGAAUUACCGGAAAACGAUAAAACAAUCUAUGUCGAAAAGUUAACCGUUACGUAUUGCAUCAAAACUCUCGGCACUCCGCAUUUAGAAAAAGUUACCG